rnacentral:rRNA from 1 species
CCUACGGGCGGCAGCAGUGAGGAAUAUUGGUCAAUGGACGAGAGUCUGAACCAGCCAAGUAGCGUGAAGGAUGACUGCCCUAUGGGUGGUAAACUUCUUUUAUAAAGGAAUAAAACGAGGCACGUGUGCCUUUUUGCAUGUACUUUAUGAAUAAGGAUCGGCUAACUCCGUGCCAGCAGCCGCGGUAAUACGGAGGAUCCGAGCGUUAUCCGGAUUUAUUGGGUUUAAAGGGAGCGUAGAUGGGUUGUUAAGUCAGUUGUGAAAGUUUGCGGCUCAACCGUAAAAUUGCAAUUGAUACUGGCAGUCUUGAGUACAGUUGAGGUAGGCGGAAUUCGUGGUGUAGCGGUGAAAUGCUUAGAUAUUACGAAGAACCCCGAUUGCGAAGGCAGCCUACUAAACUGUGACUGACAUUGAUGCUCGAAAGUGUGGGUAUCAAACAGGAUUAGAUACCCCUGUAGUC